ensembl:lncRNA
CUGCAGCUCUUCAGCAGGCCCUCCCGAGGUCCAGGUCGGAGGCCCUGAGAGGCAGACGUGGCCGCAGUUUGUCCAGCUCCCUCCCACUCUGGGUUCUGCUCUUCUUCCCAAGUGCAGGUACAGCCAACCUACAGCAUCCACGGGCUCCCCCGCCACCACCCCGGGGGCAAAGCCAGCAGCUCUUCACAGAUGCUUCAACAGCUCCCUCGGCUGCAGAAAUUCUAAUCGCUGCAUCACUCAUAGUGGUUCUGCCCUUCUGAUGAGACUCUCAUACAGCAUCCAAGUGAGAUACCGAGAGAGGAGGUCCACCGCCCUGGGAGCUCCAUGGUACAGAGAUGGGGGCAGGAGGGAACAGCCAAGGAGACCGAGAGCCACCAGUGAGACAGAAGGAAACCCUGAGCACUCGUGGCUCAAGGCGAAGGAGGAACGUCAGGAGGAGCCUGAGCUUGACCAUGUCUGCUGAGAUGAGUUUGGAGAGCGGACUGCCGUGCCUGAAGAUGGGAGAAACAAAGCCUGCUUGCUUUCCGGUGGGAAUGACCCAGUAGAGAAGGGGCUUGACAGCUGGAGGCAGGUCUUGAGAAGUGAUGGUGAUACUGACGGGGAUCAGUUCCCGGGGAGGCCACUGGCCCAAGAAGCCUGGACACCUGGACACCUGGAGAAGGGGCAGGAACGCAGGGUCAGGGGCUUCCUGACCGGACGUGUGCGCGGGGUCUGGAUGGUCCCUUCUGAUGACCUGCUCAGUGAGCAGACCCAAAGCCAUCAGCUGAGAGUGAACACGGGGGAAAGAUGCCGGGGGUUUCCAGAGAGGAAAGGGCACGGCAGGUCUCUGUAGGCAGCAGGAGAGCACACGGACCCCAGCGACAUACAGGAGGUUCUCGAGGCAGCCUCGAGGCCCACCCGGGGAUGCUGGUCAUGAACUCGGAGUGAGAGGGUGUGAUGAGAGUGUGCAGGAGCCACGCUUAGCUGUGUAGUCGCGGAGCAGAGAAAACGAGGGCAGGGAGGGCAGGAGGGGGUGGACCUGUGGCUUUGCUGACUGAGAAGGAUGAAGAAGAGAUGCCCGGGUGAGGACCACGGUGUCCCCAAGAC